AGUCAAUAGAUACCCUGGUAGUCCACGCCGUAAACGAUGGAUGCUAGCUGUUAUGAGUAUCGACCCUUGUAGUAGCGAAGCUAACGCGUUAAGCAUCCCGCCUGUGGAGUACGGUCGCAAGACUAAAACAUAAAGGAAUUGACGGGGACCCGCACAAGCGGUGGAGCGUGUUCUUUAAUUCGAAGGUAAGCGAAGAACCUUACCAGGGCUUGACAUCCUUGGAAUUUCUCCGAAAGGAGAGAGUACUUUAUUGGACCAAGUGACAGGUGUUGCAUGGCCGUCGUCAGCUCGUGUCGUGAGAUGUUUGGUUAAGUCCAUUAACGAGCGCAACCCUUGUGAAUAGUUGGAUUUUUCUAUUCAGACUGCCCCGGUAACGGGGAGGAAGGAGGGGAUGAUGUCAGGUCAUUAUUACCCUUACGUCCUGGGCUAGAAACACGCUACAAUGGCCGGUACAAAGGGCUGCCAAGGCGCGAGCCGGAGCAAAUCCCAUCAAAACCGGUCCCAGUUCGGAUAGCAGGCUGAAACUCGCCUGCUUGAAGUCGGAAUCGCUAGUAAC
rnacentral:rRNA from 1 species